GUGAAUCAUCAAAUUUUUGAACGCAAAUUGCACUUUCUUCGGAGAGUAUGCCUGUUUGAGGGUCAGCAUAUAAAAAAUUGUCAUCGUUGCUGUUUCGUGGUGAGGUUCGUCGGAAAUUGGGUUAUCUUAAAUCAUUUUGGUUUUAAGCGACUUACAAUUUUCUUUUUGGUUCCAUGAACGUUUCUAAGUUUUAUUUCUUUACACGUUUGAUGUAUCGUUUUUUUCUAGCAGUGACUAUAAUAUCGGAUCGCGUUGAU
rnacentral:misc_RNA from 1 species